rnacentral:misc_RNA from 1 species
GGCGGAGAUUGGAGGGGAAGGUAGCGAUCGUGACAGCCUCCACGCAGGGCAUCGGCUUCGCCAUCGCCGAGCGUUUCGGCGUCGAGGGCGCCGCCGUCGUCGUCUCCUCCCGGAAGCAGAAGAACGUCGACGAGGCGGUGGAGAAGCUGCGAUCGAAGGGGAUCGAGACGAUUGGCCUCGUCUGUCACGUCUCCAACGCCCAGCACCGCAAGGAUCUCAUCGACAGGACCGUUCAGAAAUAUGGCCAUAUUGAUAUAAUUGUGUCCAAUGCGGCUGCUAAUCCAACAGUAGAGAACAUAUUGAAUGAAAAAGAGUCAGUUCUCGAUAAACUCUGGGAGAUAAAUGUGAAGGCUUCAAUCCUGAUACUGCAGGAUGCCGCGGCCCACUUGCGUAAAGGAUCAUCUGUGAUCCUUAUUUCUUCUAUCGCAGGUUAUAGUCCUCAAGCAUCAAUGGCCAUGUAUGGGGUUACCAAGACUGCUCUUCUUGGGCUUACAAAGGCUCUUGCUGCCGAAUUGAGCCCGCAUACGCGAGUCAACUGCAUAGCUCCUGGCUUUGUGCCAACACAUUUCGCCGACUUCCUGACAAAGAGUGACACCAUUAGGAAAUCGAUCGAGGCGAAAACUUUGCUUGGGAGGCUGGGGACCAUUGAAGACAUGGCUGGAGCGGCAGCCUUCCUGGCAUCAGAUGAUGCAGGAUACAUAACCGGAGAAACCCUUGUGGUUGCCGGAGGGAUGCCGUCAAGACUCUAAUCCCGACAAUGCUCCGGUUGUGUUUUAGGGAACUCUGGUCGUAUAGAAUUUGCUAGUCAAUUCUAGCCAAUAAAUUUGC